GACGUCGAUAUUCGACGUCAUAAACACGAGCAAGUUUGGUGUUUAUGAUGUCGAUAUUCGACGUCAUAAACACGAGCAACUUUGGUGUUUAUGACGUCGAUAUUCGACGUCAUAAACACGAGCAAGUUUGGUGUUUAUGACGUCGAUAUUCGACGUCAUAAACACGAGCAACUUUGGUGUUUAUGACGUCGAUAUUCGACGUCAUAAACACGAGCAACUUUGGUGUUUAUGACGUCGAUGUUCGACGUC
rnacentral:miRNA from 1 species